UAUUAUUCCUCUUUAGAGUGUAUUUCUUUCUCUCUCUAUAUCUACAGGACAAAGCCUUCAAGGCUGUUGAAAAAAGUUCUAUAUCCUACGCGUCCUCUCCAAAAACCCUAGCUUUGCUUCUCUCUCCGCGUGCUCGCCGUGAAUUCUCUUUCAAUUCUCGCUGGAAUUGGAGAAUCCUCUCCAAUUCUCCAUGCCUCCGCUGUAGAUCGUCGCAGGAGCCAUGGACGAUAACGACAAUCCCGAUCCGGGAAACGACUUCUCCGGAGACUCGAGCUGGACACUGGGAGCUGAGUCCGACAGUGUCUACUUCUUCGGCAGUGAUAGGGAGAGCAGUAUUCUGAGCGAGUUUGGGUGGAAUCUGCAGCCGGAGGAGGCUCACCACCGGAGUCUCAAGCCGGAGAGGUUCGGCGACGUGGAGCGGAUCGAGAGUUCAGAUUUGGCGGGAAGGUUGCCGUUGGCAGAGAGCAGCGGUUUGGAGUGUUCAGCCGCGGCAGCGCAAAUCGGAUCGGCGGAGAAAGCUGGUGACGCGUCGACGUCGAAUCCGUCUGUGUCUUCGAGCUCCAGCGAGGAUCCGCCGGAGAAGUCGACGGGGUCCGGCGGCGGGAAGCCUCCUGAAAUACCGAGUAAGGGGCGGAAGAAGGGGCAAAAGCGAAUUAGGCAGCCGCGCUUUGCGUUUAUGACCAAGAGUGAAGUUGAUCAUCUUGAAGACGGUUAUCGCUGGCGGAAGUAUGGACAAAAGGCUGUUAAAAAUAGUCCUUUUCCUAGGAGCUAUUACCGGUGCACAAACAGCAAAUGCACGGUGAAGAAAAGAGUUGAACGCUCCUCGGAGGAUCCCAGCAUCGUAAUCACUACAUAUGAAGGCCAACACUGUCAUCAUACAGUUGGAUUCCCCCGCGGUGGAGUCAUUAGUCAAGAGGUUACCUUUGAUGGCCGUAUGACCCCUCCAUUAACAUCACACUUUUAUUAUCCAGAUAUGUCGUUCCACCGUGAAGGUUCUCAUAGUGGUAGCAUGGCACAGUCACACCAAGUCCCAGCCCAAGCUAGAGAAGCACGCGCACUGGCUGAGCCAAGCCCACAGCUUCCCACUGAUGAAGGACUGCUUGGGGACAUGGUGCCUCCUGGAAUGCGCAAUGGAUGAAGAGAAAAAGACGCUUCUGCAUGUGUGGACAACACUGACUAGUCUCAAAUUGUGGUGAGAUGCCCUUGACAUGUAACCCCACUGGCGAUCACCCCACUUGCAUGAAUGGCCAUGCAGUAGUGCCGAGACUAGAGCCUAUGGAUUCAACUCUGUACGGAACAUUUUGUAAGGAAGCCAUGAAGCCAUCCCAAGCCAGAAGUGAUCCCUUUUUACUCCAUAUCACAUACACCUAUAUGUACCAAGCAUUGAGCACAAGGUCGACACUUUCAUUGCUUGGAUACAUACAUCUCAAACAAUCAUUUUGUACGAGGAUUAAUAUAUAUAUAUAUAUAUAUAUAUAUAUAUAUAUGUAUGUAAAUAUAUACGUAGUAACAUAUAUAGUUAUCGUCCAUCGCCUUUACCACUGCGGAUCCUUAUUUCGUUUCACCUUUAGGUUGGCUGGCAGCUCCAACUUUAGAAACAGUAGAACGAUCGGUCUUUGAUUGAUUCCUUCACCAUAUUGUUGUUAAUUGACUUUCCUAUGAUUAACUUUGUAGAAGACCCAGAAUUCAGAACACUACUUCUCUCUUCUUCUUCU